rnacentral:rRNA from 1 species
GAAACGGCUGCUAAUACCGCAUAAGCGCACAGAGCUGCAUGGCUCGGUGUGAAAAACUCCGGUGGUAUGGGAUGGGCCCGCGUCUGAUUAGGCAGUUGGCGGGGUAACGGCCCACCAAACCGACGAUCAGUAGCCGGCCUGAGAGGGCGACCGGCCACAUUGGGACUGAGACACGGCCCAAACUCCUACGGGAGGCAGCAGUGGGGAAUAUUGCACAAUGGGGGAAACCCUGAUGCAGCGACGCCGCGUGAGCGAAGAAGUAUUUCGGUAUGUAAAGCUCUAUCAGCAGGGAAGAUAAUGACGGUACCUGACUAAGAAGCCCCGGCUAACUACGUGCCAGCAGCCGCGGUAAUACGUAGGGGGCAAGCGUUAUCCGGAUUUACUGGGUGUAAAGGGAGCGUAGACGGCAAGGCAAGUCUGAUGUGAAAACCCAGGGCUUAACCCUGGGACUGCAUUGGAAACUGUCUGGCUCGAGUGCCGGAGAGGUAAGCGGAAUUCCUAGUGUAGCGGUGAAAUGCGUAGAUAUUAGGAAGAACACCAGUGGCGAAGGCGGCUUACUGGACGGUAACUGACGUUGAGGCUCGAAAGCGUGGGGAGCAAACAGGAUUAGAUACCCUGGUAGUCCACGCCGUAAACGAUGAAACGGAGGUGUUGGGGAGCAAAGCUCUUCGGUG